CAGCCGCCGCGGUAAUACGUAGGUGGCAAGCGUUGCCCGGAAUUAUUGGGCGUAAAGGGCUCGCAGGCGGUUUCUUAAGUCUGAUGUGAAAGCCCCCGGCUCAACCGGGGAGGGUCAUUGGAAACUGGGAAACUUGAGUGCAGAAGAGGAGAGUGGAAUUCCACGUGUAGCGGUGAAAUGCGUAGAGAUGUGGAGGAACACCAGUGGCGAAGGCGACUCUCUGGUCUGUAACUGACGCUGAGGAGCGAAAGCGUGGGGAGCGAACAGGAUUAGAUACCCCCGUAGUCCCUGUCUCUUAUAA
rnacentral:rRNA from 1 species